GGAUUAGAAACCCGGGUAGUCCACGCCGUAAACGAUGAGAGCUAGUUGUCAGUGGGCAUGCCCAUUGGUGACGCAGCUAACGCAUUAAGCUCUCCGCCUGGGGAGUACGGCCGCAAGGUUAAAACUCAAAGAAAUUGACGGGGGCCCGCACAAGCGGUGGAGCAUGUGGUUUAAUUCGAAGCGACGCGCAGAACCUUACCCACGCUUGACAUGUCUCGUUUGGUCGCCAGAGAUGGCUUCCUUCAGUUCGGCUGGCGAGAACACAGGUGCUGCAUGGCUGUCGUCAGCUCGUGUCGUGAGAUGUUGGGUUAAGUCCCGCAACG
rnacentral:rRNA from 1 species